rnacentral:rRNA from 1 species
AUUGAACGCUGGCGGCAUGCUUUACACAUGCAAGUCGGACGGCAGCGGGGUAGUGCUUGCACUACUGCCGGCGAGUGGCGAACGGGUGAGUAAUAUAUUGGAACGUACCGAGUAAUGGGGGAUAACCAAUCGAAAGAUUGGCUAAUACCGCAUACGCUCUGAGGAGGAAAGCAGGGGACCUUCGGGCCUUGCGUUAUUCGAGCGGCCAAUAUCUGAUUAGCUAGUUGGUGGGGUAAAGGCCUACCAAGGCGACGAUCAGUAGCGGGUCUGAGAGGAUGAUCGGCCACACUGGAACUGAGACACGGUCCAGACUCCUACGGGAGGCAGCAGUAGGGAAUCUUCCGCAAUGGGCGAAAGCCUGACGGAGCAACGCCGCGUGAGUGAUGAAGGUCUUCGGAUCGUAAAACUCUGUUAUUAGGGAAGAACAAACGUGUAAGUAACUGUGCACGUCUUGACGGUACCUAAUCAGAAAGCCACGGCUAACUACGUGCCAGCAGCCGCGGUAAUACGUAGGUGGCAAGCGUUAUCCGGAAUUAUUGGGCGUAAAGCGCGCGUAGGCGGUUUUUUAAGUCUGAUGUGAAAGCCCACGGCUCAACCGUGGAGGGUCAUUGGAAACUGGAAAACUUGAGUGCAGAAGAGGAAAGUGGAAUUCCAUGUGUAGCGGUGAAAUGCGCAGAGAUAUGGAGGAACACCAGUGGCGAAGGCGACUUUCUGGUCUGUAACUGACGCUGAUGUGCGAAAGCGUGGGGAUCAAACAGGAUUAGAUACCCUGGUAGUCCACGCCGUAAACGAUGAGUGCUAAGUGUUAGGGGGUUUCCGCCCCUUAGUGCCGCAGCUAACGCAUUAAACACUCCGCCUGGGGAGUACGCACGCAAGUGUGAAACUCAAAGGAAUUGACGGGGACCCGCACAAGCAGCGGAGCAUGUGGUUUAAUUCGAAGCAACGCGAAGAACCUUACCAAGUCUUGACAUAUUUUGGAAGCACUUAGAGAUAAGAGCCUAUAUCUUCGGAUAACUGAAAUACAGGUGGUGCAUGGUUGUCGUCAGCUCGUGUCGUGAGAUGUUGGGUUAAGUCCCAUAACGAGCGCAGCCCCUUUUGCUAGUUACCAUCAUUAAGUUGGGGACUCUAGCAAUACUGCCGGUGACAAACCGGAGGAAGGUGGGGAUGACGUCAAAUCAUCAUGCCCUUUAUGACUUGGGCUACACACGUGCUACAAUGGCAGGUACAGAGGGCCGCAAGACAGCGAUGUUAAGCAAAACUCAAAAAGCCUGUCCCAGUUCGGAUUGCACUCUGCAACUCGAGUGCAUGAAGUUGGAGUUGCUAGUAAUCGUGGAUCAGAAUGCCACGGUGAAUGCGUUCCCGGGUCU